CCCCUCUCAGGAUGGCACCUGGAGAGUUUCCAGUACACUACCAGUCUCGGUUAUGGGAGGGAAAGUCAAGCAGAGGCGUACCCAUUUCAUUCUAGCUUGGGCAGUGGCUAGCGAGUUGAAGGAAUUCUGCUACACGU